AAUUUUAAAAUGGGUGAGCUUUGCUGACUAGUAUCUGGGUCAUGUCUGAUAAUGGUGGCUUGCUGUAGACAGCACAAAUACUCAAAUCACAACCAUGCUCUCUCUCCAUCCCUUUUUCCAGAAACUAUGUGAGCAUAGCCCUCCCUGAGCUUCAUGGGAUACAUAAUUGCAUGUAGCUCAUCUAUUGAGCAGUUAUGAUGUGCUCAGCAAACUCUCUAUCCAUGAACUCACUGAAUCUCACAAGUCAUGGUAGGACCCAACCGUGCAGUGGUCCUUGACCUUUGCGAGCGGCAUGAAGCAAAGAGACGUGAAGAACUUGGUUGCAGUUGGAGUCUCCCAAGCUCUCACAACAGAGCUGAAGUUGUGUGUGUCUCUGCAGAGGACCUUAAUGGCUCAGAAUGCUGACCGUUCUGUCCCCACAUAUCAGAGAAGAUGCUAGCUGGGACUUACAGCAGUGAACAUUUGCUCAGGGGCCACUGUGGGUGUGAGAGCGUCCUGGGUGUCUGUAGGGGCCCCGCUGGUUUCUUCAAGGACCACUGUGGGCGUGAAAGUGGCUUGGAUGUCUGUAGGUCUCCUGCUGACUUGCUCAAGGACCACCGUGGGUGUGAAGAUGACAUCCAGGCUGUCGAUGGCAGUCCCACUGGCUUCCUCCUCCUCAAAAGCCUUGAGGGGCAUUUUGGACACAGCUGGGGUUAACCAUUCCUCACCGUGUGAACCCUGGAAGAGAGCUGGCAUGAGAUGAUGCCACAUGACCCCCACUUCCACUUCGGUGGCUGUGCACAUGCUACAGAAAGGAAACCACGGGGACAAUCAGAUCUCAGCAACUCCUCUGCCUCUUUGCUGUACUCACUGAGCAAGGACUGUGUGCUUCAGUGUACAAGCUGCUGGGGCUCAGAGUCAGAAUACGCCUUCCUGGGCAUCCUCAGCCUACCUCUGGAAUCCACCCACCUAGCUAUCCAUCUCUGCUCAGUGCUAUAUAUCUCAGGCUUAGUUUGCAUACUCCUGGUCCUGGGGAGUACAUCACCUCUGCAGACGGCCCUCCUAUUUCCUCUGCUAGCCAAGCUCCAGCUUCUACUUUUUUUUUUUUUUUUUACAUUUUUAUAGUGAUUUAAUGCAGUGACUGUAUUAACCUGUGUGUAGCACUGAAAGGUGAAAAUCAGAUUGGAGAAUGACAGGCUUUUCAGUGUCGACAAUAAUAGAUUAUUAUUCAAGAUUUGUUGAUAUA